UAUGGCCAUACCACCCUAAACGUGCCCAAUCUCAUCUCUUCUCAGAAGCUAAACAGGUCAGGCCUGGUUAGCACUUGGAUGGGAGACAAACGGUUUGAAGACAAGGGGGGAAUGCCAUCA
rnacentral:rRNA from 1 species